GACGAACGCUGGCGGCGUGCUUAACACAUGCACGUCGAACGAAGUGGCGAACGGGUGAGUAAUACGUGGGUAACCUGCCCUCCUUUUUGGGAUAAGCCUUGGAAACGGGGUCUAAUACCGAAUAAAGGGGGCUGGGCUCGCGGCCUAUCAGCUUGUUGGUGGGGUGAUGGCCUACCAAGGCGGUGACGGGUAGCCGGCCUGGGAGGGUGACCGGCAACAUUGGGACUGAGAUACGGCCCAGACGCCGACGUGAGGCAGCAGUGGGGAAUAUUGCACAAUGGGCGCAAGCCGGAUGCAGCAAUGCCGCGUGUGUGAAGAAGGCCGUCGGGUUGUAAAGCACUUUCAGCGGGGAGGCGUUACCCGCAGAAGAAGCACCGGCUAACUCCGUGCCAGCAGCCGCGGUAAUUC
rnacentral:rRNA from 1 species